UAUAUUAACCAGUAUAUUAACGCAUUUCAUUUAAUGUGAUUAUGAACGACACACCCGAUAUAAUAGGUUAUAUUUUAGUAGCUUAUUCGCCGAACUAAUAUGGAGGAUAUUUUCAGUUCAAAGUGACGCUAUAUUCCGAAGGAAUGUCAAUUCAAAUAGCCAACUCAAGAGUGUGUGAAAUAAAGGAGGUCCCGUGGUUGUACCAUUUCAUCACAAAUUAUUCGAAUAUGCGUGAUACUUGUCCUUAUGCUGCGGGCGCGCUUGGGCUGUAUAAUUUGGAAUUUUCUGCGAAAAACAUUCCUCCAUCAAUCCUGAGCUUAGUGAAAGGCAAGGUGCUUUGUAAGUUCAUCUACGAAGUCACUAAAACACAAGAGCCUCUUGUAGAAGCAUCUCUGCUGUUUCGUUGCUAGUAAAGAGAAUUAUGCAGA